rnacentral:lncRNA from 1 species
AAAUGACAUUAUUCGUGUCCAGCACAAUCCAAAAGGAAAAUGGGACCAAAGAACUGUCGUAAAAAAUAACAACACCCGAACUCAUACGUGAUUAAAAAAAACAUCAGAAGAAGAUUUUUUCAAACGAAACAAAAAACAUUUAUUGAAAGCAAAAGAAAGCAAUAUCAAUCAACCAUCUCUAGAAGAAGCAAAUGAAAAUAAUCACAACGG